rnacentral:rRNA from 1 species
GAUGAGGUUUCUCAUUGUUUUAACAAGUAAGGUCCCACAAAGACGAUGUGGUUGAUAGGCCGGGAGUGGAAGUACAGCGAUGUACGGAGCGGACCGGUACUAAUAGACCGAGGACUUGACUUA